GACGAACGCUGGCGGCGUGCUUAACACAUGCAAGUCGUGCGGAAAGGCCCCUUUGGGGGUGCUCGAGCGGCGAACGGGUGAGUAACACGUGAGUAAUCUGCCCUGCACUUUGGGAUAACUGCCGGAAACGGUGGCUAAUACUGGAUAGGACUGCAUCCUGCAUGGGGUGUGGUGGAAAGCCUUUGGGUGGUGUGGGAUGUGCUCGCGGCCUAUCAGCUUGAUGGUGGGGUAGUGGCCUACCAUGGCUUUGACGGGUAACCGGCCUGAGAGGGUGACCGGUCACACUGGGACUGAGACACGGCCCAGACUCCUGCGGGAGGCAGCAGUGGGGAAUAUUGGACAAUGGGCGGAAGCCUGAUCCAGCAACGCCGCGUGAGGGAUGAC
rnacentral:rRNA from 1 species